UGUAAGGUACCGAACUUCUUAAAUUAUGAAGUUGCGGUAGGAUGUAAUAUGCUGAAAUUUUAAUAUAAAAAAUAAAUAUAAAUAAAAAUAGUGUGAGAUACUAUUUUAUUGGACUUAUAGACAUAUAAUAUAAGUCUGGAAUGACCCGUGUUGAAAUCGGAGCGAAAACAGAAGAUUUAGAAUUUUCUGUGUGAAACGGGACAGAUAAAUUAGCAAAAAAUGCAUAGUGUCAAAAAAUUCUGAAAACUGGAGGAUAAGCCAGAAUUAUUCUUAUGAGGCUAGAUUUAAAGUUUCAUUUCAUUCUGACACCCGGAAGGUGAAAAAUAAAAUCCGAUAGUGAUCUGAUAAAGAUUACAGUUCGGUAUGGCUUUCGGUGACCAAAUGGGGUCGAAACUGAAAGAUUAAAAUUUCUUUCGUUAAGUUAAGCAAAAUCGAACAUGACUGUCAAAUUUGAGCUCAAACGGAUAUUCAAAGGGCUCCGACGAAAGAUAUCAGAUUUCGAACUGCCUGAAGUGAAUA
rnacentral:lncRNA from 1 species